UAAUAGACUACCCGGGUAGUCCACGCCGUAAACGCUGGAUACUAGGUGUGGCGUCCCGAUCAACGGAUGCCGUGCCGAAGCUAACGCAUUAAGUAUCCCGCCUGGGGAGUACGGCCGCAAGGCUAAAACUCAAAGGAAUUGGACGGGUCCCCGCACAAGCGGCGGAGCAUGCGGCUUAAUUCGAUGCAACCCGAAGAACCUUACCUGGGUUUGAAAUCAUGGGAAAAGCUGUAGAAAUACAGUGUCCGUAAGGGCCCAUGACAGGUGGUGCAUGGCUGUCGUCAGCUCGUGUCGUGAGAUGUUGGGUUAAGUCCCGCAACGAGCGCAACCCUUGUCCUAUGUUGCCAGCGGUUCGGCCGGGGACUCAUAGGAGACUGCCGGGGAUAACUCGGAGGAAGGUGAGGACGACGUCAAGUCAUCAUGCCCCUUAUAUCCAGGGCUGCACGCAUGCUACAAUGGUCGGUACAACGGGCAGCGACCCCGGCGAGGGGUGAGCGAAUCCCACAAAAGCCGGCCUCAGUUCGGAUUGGAGUCUGCAACUCG
rnacentral:rRNA from 1 species